UACUCAUACAAAGGCUAUGGCUAGAACC
rnacentral:sRNA from 1 species